CAAUAGCGUAUAUUAAAGCUGUUGCGGUUAAAAAGCUCGUAGUUGGAUUUCUGUCAAGGACAACUGGUCCGCCCUCCGGGUGAGCACAUAGUUUGGUCUUGACAUCUUGCUGGAAGCUGUUGCUGCACUUGGCUGUGUGGCGCAGUGUUCAGCACUUUCACUUUGAGGAAAUUGGGGUGUUUCAAGCAGGCACAUGCCUUUGGACACAGUAGCAUGGAAUAAUUAGAUUGGGCUUUUGCUCCAAUUUGUCGGUUUCUGGAGCUGAGGUGAGUAUUAAUGGGGAUUGUUGGGGGCAUCCGAAUUUAGCCGUCAGAGGUGAAAUUCUUGGAUCUGCUAAAGACGGACAACUGCGAAAGCGUUUGCCCAGGAUGUUUUCAUUGA
rnacentral:rRNA from 1 species